rnacentral:lncRNA from 1 species
CAAUUGGUCUUUGAUGGGAGGGGUACCAUUUUUGAUUUGUUGAGGGGCGACAAGGAUGAGAUGGGUCCCUUAUUGCUGCCUGGGAUGUGUGAGAUACCAGCAAGGGACGGUGCUCUGGACCAGGAGAUUGGGUAUAUGGGAUGUGUUUCGGGGUCGCUCAUGGGGGGGGUCGACGAGCAUGGGAGAGGCAUUCAAGGGUGAAGCCCCAUUGACAGCGUUGGCACGGGGGGCCCUUAUAUCCGGUUUGGCAGUGGAAUGGGAUGGGGCGGGACUUGUGGUGAAGCGGGAGGAUCCGGGGAAGGGUGGGGUUGCG